rnacentral:rRNA from 1 species
GCACAAGCGGUGGAGCAUGUGGUUUAAUUCGACGCAACGCGAAGAACCUUACCUGGGCUCGAAAUGUAGUGGACCGGAGUAGAAAUAUUCCUUCCCCGCAAGGGGCUGCUAUAUAGGUGCUGCAUGGCUGUCGUCAGCUCGUGUCGUGAGAUGUUGGGUUAAGUCCCGCAACGAGCGCAACCCUUAUCUCCAGUUGCUACCAUUUAGUUGAGCACUCUGGCGAAACCGCCUCGGAUAACGGGGAGGAAGGUGGGGAUGACGUCAAGUCCUCAUGGCCUUUAUGUCCAGGGCUACACACGUGCUACAAUGGCCGGUACAAACCGUUGCAAACCCGCGAGGGGGAGCUAAUCGGAAAAAGCCGGCCUCAGUUCGGAUCGCAGUCUGCAACUCGACUACGUGAAGCUGGAAUCGCUAGUAAUCGCGGAUCAGAACGCCGCGGUGAAUACGUUCCCGGGC